AGCUCCAAUAGCGUAUAUUAAAGUUGUUGCGGUUAAAAAGCUCGUAGUUGGAUUUCUGUUGAGGUCGGGCGGUGUGCACCUCGUGCAUUAUUUGCUUCGGUCUCGGCAUCCUCCUGGGGAACGUUUAGGACUUUAUUGGACUAGGCGAGAUUCAGGACUUUUACUUUGAGGAAAUUAGAGUGUUCACGGCAAGCAAGCGCGGGAAUACAUUAGCAUGGAAUAAUAAUAUAGGACCUUCGUUCUAUUUUGUUGGUUUCUAGAACUUAGGUAAUGAUUAAUAGGGACGAUUGGGGGCAUUCGUAUUAACGCGUCAGAGGUGGAAUUCUUGGAUUGCGUUACGACGAACUACUGCGAAAGCAUUUGCCAAAGAUGUUU
rnacentral:rRNA from 1 species